GACGAACGCUGGCGGCGUGCUUAACACAUGCAAGUCGAACGGAAAGGCCCUGCUUUUGUGGGGUGCUCGAGUGGCGAAAGGGUGAGUAACACGGGAGUAACCUGCCCUUGACUUUGGGAUAACUUCAGGAAACUGGGGCUAAUACCGGAUAGGAGCUCCUGCUGCAUGGUGGGGGUUGGAAAGUUUCGGCGGGUGGGGAUGGACUCGCGGCUUAUCAGCUUGUUGGUGGGGUAGUGGCUUACCAAGGCUUUGACGGGUAGCCGGCCUGAGAGGGUGACCGGCCACAUUGGGACUGAGAUACGGCCCAGACUCCUACGGGAGGCAGCAGUGGGGAAUAUUGCACAAUGGGCGGAAGCCUGAUGCAGCAACGCCGCGUGCGGGAUGACGGCCUUCGGGUUGUAAACCGCUUUCGCCUGUGACGAAGCGUGAGUGACGGUAAUGGGUAAAGAAGCACCGGCUAACUACGUG
rnacentral:rRNA from 1 species